AUGGGGAGGCAGGAGGAGUGGGGAGGGAGAGGGAUAAGGAGAAGCAGACUCUGCUCUGCAGGGACCCCAACUCAAGGUUCGAUCCCAGGACCCCAAUAUCACAUCCGAGCCAAAGGCAGCCUCUUAACCCGUGGAGCCACCCAGGCACCCCUAAGGUAUUCUGUAUAUUGCAGAAAGCCGGUAGUAAUGCAAAUGAUUGCAAAGGAUUCCCAGCCCCUCUGUGAAGAUGCAAUUGAUUUCUGCCCUUUGGAGGAAACCAAGUUUGCAUCUAUCAGCAAAUUCAUUUCUACAUUCCUGAUUAUCUUUAUUCCCGUUUUCGGAAGCCAUUCCGCCUGAUGUCAUUUGCUCAGCCUGCUGCCGAUUGACAUCCCAGCGUGCAAACCGACGUGGGUAAAUUACAGGUUGACAGGAGAUGAACGGGAGAAAAAUCAGAUUGCAUUUUGUAGGAAGGAAGCGCUCCGGUAUGUGGCGAUCCCCAAGACCAAGGUGACAUGGAGUAUACAGGACAUCUGAGCUAAGGAAGGGGGUGGGCAGGGUAAGGCAAUUCACAGGGUAAGAAUCACAGAGGUUUGGGGGCCCUGCAUGGCUCAGUCAGCUAAGUGUCUGCCUUUGGCUCAGGUCAUGAUCCUGGGGUCUUGGGAUCGAGUCCUGCCUCAGGCUCCUUGCUCAGCAGGGAGCCUGCUUUUCCCUCAGCCUGACGCUCCCCCUGCUUGGGCACUCUGACAAAAUCUUAAAAAAAAGUUUGCCCCCCACACCUCGCCCCACAUACACACACAGAUGGGUCACUCAGAUAAAAUUUCUGGUAAAAACUCCCAUUCUGGGGCGCCUGGGUGGCUCAGUGGGUAAAGCCGCUGCCUUUGGCUCGGGUCGUGAUCUUGGGGUCCUGGGAUCGAGUCCCGCAUCGGGCUCUCUGCUCGGCGUGGAGCCUGCUUCCCUCUCUCUCUCUCUCUGCCUGCCUCUCCAUCUACUUGUGAUUUCUCUGUCAAAUAAAUAAAAUCUUAAAAAAAAAAAAAAACUCCCAUUCUGGGAAAGACACUAACCCCCCUACCCUCCCGCUCAAAUUUUAAUACCUCUUAGGUAGCUAAGGGAGGGGCAAAAAUUUCUCUUAAGCUGUUGGCUCUCCAUGGGCAUGUGGCCGAUCUUGGGCUGAAGGCUGAGCAGCACACGUCGGGGAUACAUGUCCGGAGUCCCUUCAUGAGACCCCAAGUACCACAUUGCUCCUCCCCAGAGCCCGGAAGGCUGGAGAACUCCGUCUGAAACGCAGUGAUGCUAAGUGGGAGGAAACAGGCUGGGUGAGGAGUGGAGCCCGGUCGGAUGGGACACAGGCCCAAUCCCCCACCGUGCCCUGAAUCCUGCUGUGUGAACCAGGAGGCCAUCAAGCACCCUCCUCACUCAGCCUCUGAAUAGUGUGUCUCACAUACGAAGGGACCCACCACGCCGGGUCAGCAGGGGCAAAGAGCCAGGCUGCUUCUCUGCCUCCAGGCCAUGUUCUGCGGUUCCUGAGUCUCUAAGAUUUUAUGUAUGUGACAGACAGACAUCACAAGCAGGCAGAGAGGCAGGCAGAGAGAGAA
rnacentral:lncRNA from 1 species